rnacentral:rRNA from 1 species
CCCUUAGAUGUCCGGGGCUGCACGCGCGCUACACUGACGCACGCAACAGGUGCCUGCUCCGAGAGGACUGGGUAAUCAUUUGAGUGUGCGUCGUGAUGGGGAUAGAAUAUUGUAAUUAUUACUCUUCAACGAGGAAUUCCUAGUAAGCGCCAGUCAGCAGCUUGCGCUGAUUACGUCCCUGCCCUUUGUACACACCGCCCGUCGCUCCUACCGAUGGGUGAUCCGGUGAAUGAUUCGGACUUCAGCGGCUCCCCUGGGGUGCGCCGGAGAAAGUUUUGUGAACCUUAUCACUUGGAGGAAGGAGAAGUCGUAACA